GAAAGUAAGCAAGGGCAGACGGUGGAUGCCUUGGCUCUCGGAGGCGACGAAGGACGUGAUAAGCUGCGAAAAGCCCGGGGGAGGCGCAAAUAGCCGUUGAUCCCGGGAUAUCCGAAUGGGGCAACCCGGCAGGCUGAAGGCCUGCCAUCCCGAAAGGGAGGCGAACGUGGGGAACUGAAACAUCUAAGUACCCAUAGGAGGAGAAAAUAAACAAUGAUUCCGUAAGUAGUGGCGAGCGAACACGGAAGAGCCCAAACCCAUGUCGUCUAGGCGACACGGGGGUUGUAGGACCACGACGUGGCAAGAAGGAAGGGAAAUGGAACGACUUGGAAAAGUCGGCCAUAGACGGUGAAAGCCCGGUACAUGACUCCCUUACGAAGCCUAGUGGUAUCCUGAGUAGCGCGGGGCACGAGAAAUCUUGCGUGAAACAGCGGGGCCCAUCCCGUAAGGCUAAAUACUCCCGAGAGACCGAUAGCGAACCAGUACCGUGAGGGAAAGGUGAAAAGAACCCCGAGCAGGGGAGUGAAAUAGACCCUGAACCCGUCUGCCUACAAGCGGUCGGAGCGUCGUAAUGACGUGACGGCGUGCCUUUUGCAUAAUGAACCUACGAGUUACCUUCCCCGGCAAGGUUAAGUACCUAAGGUACGGAGCCGAAGCGAAAGCGAGUCUGAAGAGGGCGCCAAGUCGGGGGGGGUAGACGCGAAACCGAGUGAUCUACCCUUGGCCAGGUUGAAGGUUGGGUAACACCAACUGGAGGACCGGAUGGGUAAGCGUUGAAAAGCUUUCCAAUGAGCUGAGGGUAGGGGUGAAAGGCUAAUCAAACUCGGAGAUAGCUCGUACUCCCCGAAAUGCAUUUAGGUGCAGCCUCUUUAUAGUAUAUCGUGAGGUAGAGCGACUGAUUGGAUGCGAGGGCUUCACCGCCUAUCAAGUCCAGAUAAACUCCGAAUGCGCGAUAUAUAUUUACAGGGAGUGAGGGCGCGGGUGCUAAGGUCCGUGUCCGAGAGGAGAAGAAUCCAGACCACCGGCUAAGGCCCCCAAAUGAUCGUUAAGUUGAACUAACGAGGUCGGAUCGCAGAGACAGCUAGGAUGUUGGCUUGGAAGCAGCCAUUCAUUUAAAGAGUGCGUAACAGCUCACUAGUCGAGCGAUCUGGCGUGGAUAAUAAUCGGGCAUAAACGAUCUGCCGAAGCCGUGGAUGUCGCAAGACAUGGUAGGGGAGCAUUCCAUGCGGCGUCGAAGAUGAGGGAUGACCCUUGUUGGAGCGCAUGGAAAAGCAAAUGUAGGUAUGAGUAACGAUAAGGGGGGCGAGAAACCCCCCCGCCGAAAGACCAAGGUUUCCUGAUCAACGCUAAUCGGAUCAGGGUGAGUCGGGACCUAAGGCAAAGCCGAACGGCGCCGCCGAUGGAAGAAUGGGUUAAUAUUCCCAUACUGCCUCAUGGAGUGACGUGGAGACGGAGAAGUGACAGUCCUGCCGGCUGACGGAAUAGCCGGUUGAAGGGUGUAGAUAUUGAUUCCCGUAGGCAAAUCCGCGGGGAGAGUCGAACCUGAGAGUAUACGGAGCGCUUGCGCAACGUAAUAUGGACGUAACCAUGCUCCCGAGAAAAUCCGCUAAACUUAUCCAUGCGGCACCCGUACCGUAAACGGACACACGUGGUCGGGUUGAGAAUACUGAGGCGCUCGAGUGAUUCACGGUUAAGGAACUAGGCAAAUUGACCCUGUAACUUCGGGAUAAAGGGUCCUCGUCGUAAGGCGAGGCGCAGAGAAUAGGUCCAGGCAACUGUUUAACAAAAACACAUGGCUGUGCUAAAUGGAAACAUGAUGUAUACAGCCUGACACCUGCCCGGUGCCGGAAGGUUAAGAGGAGAUGUCAUCCGCGAGGAGAAGCGUUGAAUUGAAGCCCCGGUAAACGGCGGCCGUAACUAUAACGGUCCUAAGGUAGCGAAAUUCCUUGUCGGGUAAGUUC
rnacentral:rRNA from 1 species